UGGCGAACGGCGGAGUAAGACAUGAGGAACGUACCCUGAAGACCGGGAUAGUCAUUGGAAACGAUGGGUAAUACCGGAUGUGGCGGAGAUGUGGCAUCACAUUUCCAUUAAACGGUUUUUCGCUUCAGGAGCGCCUCAUGGCCUAUCAGGUAGUUGGUGGGGUAAUGGCCUACCAAGCCGACGACGGGUAGCGGGUCUGAGAGGAUGAUCCGCUCGAGUGGGACUGAGACACGGCCCACACACCUACGGGUGGCAGCAGUUGGGAAUCUUGCACAAUGGGGGAAACCCUGAUGCAGCGACGCCGCGUGGAGGAUGAAGGAUCUAGGUCUGUAAACUCCUUUUAUCGGGAAAGACUUAGGACGGUACCCGAUGAAUAAGCACCGGCUAACUACGUGCCAGCAGCCGCGGUGAGACGUAGGGUGCAAGCGUUGUCCGGAUUUACUGGGCGUAAAGAGCGCGUAGGCGGUCUGUUAAGUGUAGAGUGAAAGCUCCGGGCUCAACCUGGAAAUUGCUCUGCAUACUGGCAGACUUGAGGAAUGGAGAGGUUUGUGGAAUUCCUGGUGUAGCGGUGAAAUGCAUUGAUAUCAGGAGGAACACCGAUGGCGAAGGCAGCAAACUGGCCAUUAUCUGACGCUGAGGCGCG
rnacentral:rRNA from 1 species